GAUGAACGCUAGCGAUAGGCUUAACACAUGCAAGUCGAGGGGCAGCAUAUUCGAAGCUUGCUUUGAAUGAUGGCGACCGGCGCACGGGUGCGUAACGCGUAUGUAACCUGCCUGUCAGAAGGGAAUAACCCGGUGAAAGUCGGACUAAUACCCUAUAUGCUCACGAGAGGCACCCUGCCUUGGUGAGAAAAGAUUUAUCACUGGCAGAUGGACAUGCGUCCCAUUAGCUUGUUGGUAGGGUAACGGCCUACCAAGGCAACGAUGGAUAGGGGAGCUGAGAGGCUUAGUCCCCCACAUUGGGACUGAGACACGGCCCAA
rnacentral:rRNA from 1 species